GAAAACAUGAAAACUACCGUUGAAUCGAGAAAUGGACGUCCGAGAUUCGUCCACGUCACUAUGAGUUAAAAUUUAACUCCUAGUAAAAUUUUAACUCAUGAGUGAAUCUACGAGUUAAAUUUUAACUCAGGGUGACGUGGACGAAUCUCGAACGUUCAUUUCUCGAUCCAACGGUAGUUUCCAAGUUUUC
rnacentral:pre_miRNA from 1 species